UACGUAGGGUGCAAGCGUUGUCCGGAAUUAUUGGGCGUAAAGAACUCUUAGGCGGUCUGUCGCGUCGGCUGUGAAAACUCGGGGCUCAACCCCGAGCCUGCAGUCGAUACGGGCAGACUAGAGGUAUGCAGGGGAGAACGGAAUUCCUGGUGUAGCGGUGAAAUGCGCAGAUAUCAGGAGGAACACCGGUGGCGAAGGCGGUUCUCUGGGCAUUACCUGACGCUGAGGAGCGAAAGUGUGGGGAGCGAACAGG
rnacentral:rRNA from 1 species